GAUGAACGCUAGCGGCAGGCUUAAUACAUGCAAGUCGAGGGGCAGCAGGACUGUAGCAAUACCGUUGCUGGCGACCGGCACACGGGUGCGGAACACGUACGCAACCUACCCAAAACUGGGGGAUAGCCCGGGGAAACCCGGAUUAAUACCUCGUAACCUUUUUAAGUGGCAUCACUUGAUAAGUAUAGCUCCGGCGGUUUUGGAUGGGCGUGCGCCUGAUUAGGUAGUUGGUGCGGGUAACGGCCCACCAAGCCUGCGAUCAGUAACUGGUGUGAGAGCACGACCAGUCACACGGGCACUGAGACACGGGCCCGACUCCUACGGGAGGCAGCAGUAAGGAAUAUUGGUCAAUGGACGCAAGUCUGAACCAGCCAUGCCGCGUGAAGGAGGAAGGUCCUCGGGAUUGUAAACUUCUUUUAUGGGGGACGAAACCCGGAUAUUCUUAUCCGAUUGACGGUACCUCAGGAAUAAGCACCGGCUAACUCCGUG
rnacentral:rRNA from 1 species